GGAGCGCUCGAGCUGUCCGUGAGACGGGUGACGUCACGGAAACGGCGCGCCGGGGCGGGGAUUUCUCGAGAGCGCGCUCGCGCGUAUACGCCGACCCACAUUGUCGUACAGAUGUGCGCGCGCGCAAGCGUUUUUUCACGAUACAAACAAACAGAGGUGUAUGAAUGGCGAGGUCCAGGAUGUUCGAGUCCGUGUUAGGAUUCCUCACAGUUCACUUUCUGAGCUCCGCCUGCACUUCCUGGUAGAUCUUCUCCUCCAGUGUGGACGUGUCGUACUCCUUCAGCAUGUCGUACUGCCUCCACGGCUCCGCCCACUUCUGAGCAUGCUCCAUCUGCUCCGGGGUCAGACACAGGUCAAAGCGUAUUCCCUUGAUGUUGAACUUGGGACGUUCCCAGCGCUUGGACCAGGGACGAGGCUUCAUCCUCACCUUCAUCUGCACAGAGAGAGAGAGAGAGAGAGGAAUGUAAACUCACAGAGAAAGAAAAACAGAGUAAGAUGUCUCCAUGAUCCGUCUCGCACCCACCUCGUUGACGGGGACUUCCUGUGUGGGCGACAGGUGAACAGGCUUCACGUCGAAGGCGAAGGUGCUGUAUUCAGGCAGAGCGUCUCUCAGGUACAUCAGGUUAUCGUCCAGUCUCUUCUCCAGCUUCAGCACCUCGAUGUGCUUCAUGCGAGGAUUGUACAGCUCGUAACAGAUCUCCACUCCUAAACACACACACACACACUCUGCUGAAAAUAACAGUCAGUGAAGAGGGAUCAAUGUUGUCAUGUUGUUGUUGUUCUUUCAGCUGCUCCCUGUUUGGAGUCAUCACAGCAGACCAUGUUUCAAUCUGGCACAGGUUUUACACCGGAUGCCCUUCCUGACCCAACCGUCCCAUUUAACCCAGGCUUGGGACCGACACUGAGAGUUCAGGGUUAGCGUCCUCCCCGGGAAUCGAACCCGGGCCGCGGCAAUGAGAGCGCAGGAUCCUGCCGCUGGACCACCAGGAGGCUAAUGUCUUCUUCAACGAUCUAUCAAAAUGUACUGAAUUCAUCACAGGUGUCAAAAAAGAGCUGUUUGUGUUUUUUAUCUGCUUACUAAUCACCAAAAAAUUAGGAAACUUAUAAAUUCACUUGGCUCAUGGUUUUACGUGCACAAUAAAAGAAACAAGUGGGGGGUGGUGGCUCAAGUGGUUAAGGCUCCGAGUCGUCCAGAAGAUCGGGGUUCAAGCCCCAGCACCGUCAAGCUGCCACUGUUGGGGCCCUUGAGCAAGGCCCUUAACCCACCCUGCUCCAGGGGCACUGUAUCAUGGCUGACCCUGCGCUCUGACCCCAACCCCCUAGGAUGGGAUAUGCGAAGAAAUAAUUUCACUGUGCUGUAAUGUAUAUGUGACAAAUAAAGGCUACUUAAUGAAGUGUUUGCUAUUUUAAGCUGAAGAUUGCAAAACUAAUAUAUUAGCAUAGGCAGAAAAGCAGGAGGUGACGUCACGAGAUAAACCUAACGUACGUCCUGCUCCGGAUCCCCUGACCCACUCUGACGAGGAGCUCACCUUGUCCGUCGAUGAUGUUCCUGAGGAUGAAGGUGGCGCCGAGUCCUUUACCCGAGCGCUGGAUGCAGAUUCCUACGAAGCGGUUGGUGUUGUUGGAGGCGUGCGGGUCGGACGUAGUGACGGACAAAACGCUUCCUGAAAACAAACCCGGUUCCCGUCAGUUCAUCAAGCGCACGAGAAAGGAGUGAAGUGUGAAGAUCAUCGGGAACGCUCCUUACCCACGUAGAACUCGGGAAUAUUCAGCACUCUGCGUCUCUGGAUCAUGUCUUUGCGCUCGAGGAAGAACUUCAGCGGAGCCGUGCGCUGACGAGGAGGAAUGAACUCGGGGCUGACGAACCUGCAUGGAAACACAGCGUCUGUUUUACUCUCACACUCCACAUCAUCACGAGGGAGACAUUUUAUUAAAAACAGCAAGAAUCUGAUUUUCUCUCAAGAGACUUCACGCCUCCAGCAUCUGGAUAUGAAGAGGGAAUAUUUCCCUGAUUAGGGUUUAUUUUAGAGACAAGGCCUCUUUUUGUUUUCGUACUGAAACUCCAUUAAAGCCAUUAAGCUUUUUUCCACAGAGUUUUCUCCAAGCUAAAGUUUUCAGCCUGAUUCCAGUCCUGGGUAUCGUCUCUAAGCUUUACACUGACGUAUUUGGAUAAAAAUAUAUAAGUCUGAAACUUGCAGGGUUUCAAACCAGACAGCUUGAUUCUCAGGAGAAACAUUCUCACCGUCGCGCCGCUUCUUCAGGCUUCGAUUUAUCCAGGAUCACCGGUUUGGAAGGAGGGGUGAAUGUGGGCGGCUUGUCGCCGGAACCCGCAGCCUGUAACCGCAGUGAGAACACUGAAAACAUGCCUGUAGGAAAGGAACCGACAGAUGAUUAGGAUACAGCGAGAACAUCAAACUGCACAAAAUAUACAGCAGUUAGAUCCACUUCUCUGAUCCGAUCUGCGUUUCAGGACUGCGAACUAUAAUAAGGAUUUAUUAAACUAUCCAUUUGGACAUGUUCAGAGGAGGGAGAGUGAGGGAGGCAGGAGGUAAAGAGGAAGACCAAAGAGGAGGUAUAUGGAUGGAACACAUGAGGAUAUGAAGUGUUGAGGAUGCAGAGGAUAGGGAUAGGUGGAGAGAGACGAUUCACUGUGGAGACCCCUGAAGGGAAAAGCCCAAAGAAGAAGAAGAUUGAGCUUUGAUUAAAUAAGAAAGCUCAUCAGGUGAUGAUGGAAAGACUGCUUUACAGGAAAUAACUUAAUCACAACAAGCUUUAUCACCGGGUCAAAGAACAAUUAACUAAUAACGCUUUUAAUCUCAUAAUUAAAUUAUUUAUGUGGAAUUAAAAAAUACGCAUUAUUACA